GUGAAUGCUGCCUGGCCCAGAACUCAACAUUCAGAGCAGUGGGAUCCCCUCUGGCCUAGGAUAGGUCCAGAAAAGCCAAGGGCUGGAAUUGAGGAUCCCAGGAGCCCACUUGGUGCUUUACACCCCUGUGGCUGAACUGGUACCUAAGGUGCAAGACAAAGUCCUCUUUACUUUUUCUUCUGCUUUUCUCACGCAAAAAAGUUUCAUGUGAAGCCAGCAAGUCUCAGAUUCUCUCUCAGGGCCCACAGUGUCCUACCUGGAUACCACUGCUGGUUAUUCAGGGCACAAGGGCUCUUUAGUAAGCAAGUAAUGGAUCCUGACAGGACUGGGCUUUUUCACUUGAAGGCAGCAGGUUUCCUUUUGGCACAGGGUAUGUCUAGAAAUGUCAUCUGGGAGCUAGGGCCUGGAAAGGGGGCCUCACAACUCUGGCUGGUGCUGUAUCCUACUGUGGCCGAGCUGGCUGACUUUGGAAAGUAUGUCCUAUAAGAGACAAAGAAAACAACUCUAGAAUCUAUCCCCUCAAUAUGAGUGACAGCCAACCAAGCAAAAUAAGUCUAAGUAGAGGAUAUCAGGAUUUCAGCUAUAACCAUGAUUAGAGAAGGUGAUGUGCAUACAAAGUUAUAUUGACAUGGUGAAAUAACUAUUUGAGAUUAAAUAGGAAAUACAAAUGAGAAUAUCUGUAUAGGAUUGAAAUAACUAAAAGUGGACACAAUCAAAAUGUCUCUAAAAGAAUGGAAUGAAUAAACUGUGUGCUAUGUUUCUACUAUGGAAUAUUAUACAGCGUUGAAUAGGAAUGAACUGAAGUUACACGUAAGAAUGUGAGGUAAAUGAAUUCUUUUCAAGGCAAUCAACCCCAUAUUUAUUCUGUGAAAAUCCUGGAAAUUCUGGCCAUUUUUAUCAACAUUCUUCCUCAUUUGCUAUGUGUUAGUCUCCAGUGGGGUUUCCAGGUGAACAAGUCCCUAAGGAGCUCAAUCAAGUGGGGAAAGAGUCACACAUAUCAACGUUUCACAGCUAAAAUGAUUUGGUGACAGUGAAUACAAUGUGGAGCACAGAGAACAGAGUGACAAAUAACGGCAUUUUCUGAGGUCUCACUGUUGCCCAAGCUGGAUUGCAAUGGCAUCAUCCUAGUUCCCUGCAGCCUGGAACUCCUGAGCUAAAGCAAUCCAUCCGCCUUAGCCUCCUGAGUAGCUGGAACUACAGGCAUGUGCCACCACGCCUCAUUUUUGUAUUUAGGUUGGGCAUUUUAAAAUCUGUCAUCUGUUUUCAACAGUAUUUCUGCAAACUGUGUGUUUAUGUCUACCUAUUUUUAUUUGCUGUUUUUCUGUAUUGAUUUAUGAAAAGUUAUAUAUUAAAAACUUUAUAUAUUGUAUAUAAACAUGUUUUGCAAGCUUUUUUUAGUUUGUCUUUUGACUU
rnacentral:lncRNA from 10 species